CGUUGACGAUACUGUCAACGAUACUGUGUUCAAAAGUAUUUAUAAUACUUUGUUCAAUUCAUGCUGGCAUUUCACAGUCUUAUCACUCUCACUGUGUACAACUACUGGACUAGAUGCAAAUAGAAGUUGAAAUCCUCUCAGAGUCGAUAUUUUUUAAACGAGAGAUCGCUCAGAUAUGUCACAUAUGUUGAUAUAACUGACAAACAAUAGUACAAACAGCAAUAAUAAAGAAUUCCCACAUCUUAUAAAAGUUAAUAGAACUUAGAG